rnacentral:rRNA from 1 species
UACGUAGGGAGCAAGCGUUGUCCGGAAUCAUUGGGCGUAAAGCGCGCGUAGGUGGCCUCAUAAGUCCGCUGUGAAAGUCAAAGGCUCAACCUUUGAAAGCCGGUGGAUACUGUGAGGCUAGAGUACGGAAGAGGCGAGUGGAAUUCCUGGUGUAGCGGUGGAAUGCGCAGAUAUCAGGAGGAACACCGGUGGCGAAGGCGGGUCUCUGGGCCGGUACCGACGCUGAGGAGCGAAAGCGUGGGGAGCGAACAGG